UAACAAAGCUAUUUACUGCUUCUAAACAAUGUUUUGUUGGUUUUAGCCGCUUGUAGGAGGAAAUGGGUAUAAGUGUUGUCGAAACACUCUUAAUCCAUAUUUAACUCUUAUAAUUAGUCAAAUGCAUUGGAUUGUGACACAUGUUGACAAUCAAAACACUAACAGAACUGUUUACUGCUUCUAAACAAUUUUUUGUUGGUUUUAGCCUCUUUUGAGAGAAAAUAGGUAUUAGUGUUGUCUAAACACUCCUAAUCCACCUCUAACUCUUAUAAUUAGUCAAAUGCAUUGGAUUGUGACACAUUUUGACCAUAAAAACACUAACAAAACUGUUUAUUGCUUGUAAGCAAUUUUCUGUCGGUUUUAGCCUCUUUUGGGAGAAAAUGGGUAUAAGUGUUGUCAAAACACUCCUAAUCAAUCUCUAACUCAUAUAAUCAGUCAAAUGCAUUGGAUUGCGAUACAUAUUGAGUUAUUGACCAUUGAAAUACUAACAAAGCUAUUUACUGUUUGUAAGCAAUAUUUUGUUAGUUGUAGCUUCUUUUGGGAGAAAUGGGUAUAAGUGUUGUCUAAACACUCCUAAUCCAUCUCUAACUCUUAUAAUUAGUCAAAUGUAUUAGAUUGUGACUCAUUUUGACCAUAGAAACACUAUAAAAGCUAUUUACUGUUUCUUAGCAGUUUUUUGUAUGUAUUAGCCUAUUUU
rnacentral:sRNA from 1 species